UACGUAGGGUGCAAGCGUUGUCCGGAAUCAUUGGGCGUAAAGCGCGCGUAGGCGGCCCUGUAAGUCCGCUGUAAAAGUCAAAGGCUCAACCUUUGAAAGCCGGUGGAUACUGCAGGGCUAGAGUCCGGAAGAGGCGAGUGGAAUUCCUGGUGUAGCGGCGGAAUGCGCAGAUAUCAGGAGGAACACCAAUAGCGAAGGCAGCUCGCUGGGACGGUACUGACGCUAAGGCGCGAAAGCGUGGGGAGCGAACAGG
rnacentral:rRNA from 1 species